CAUACAUAUUUCUCUAAUUUAUUUAGAGCAGUGUUUUUCAGCUCUGUCUGCAGAUUGGAUUUUCAUAGGGGAGAAUUUACAAAUACAGAUGCUGAGUUUCACUCAUGAAUUCACCAUUCAUGUAUUUAGUAAGAGUUUAAUGAGCAGCUAAGUGCCAUGCUCCAUGCUGAGUGCUUGGAUAUGGCAGAGAGUGAGUCAGAUGCAGUUCCUGUGUUCCAGAAGCUUUGGUUAAGUGGAGCGACAGUACUAACCAAGCAGCAGCAUUGUAUCACUGCUGGAGUGAGUCCCGAAAACGACACGUGCUCCGUUCUGUGAGAGGAUCCAAGAGUGACCUAUCCAUCUGAGAUCAGAGAUGCCAAGAAGUGAGCAGGCAGGACAGGCUGUAGCCAAGUGGAACAGUGCUGCAAGCAGAGGAAACAGAAUGUGUGAGAGCCCUGAGGUCAGAAUGAAAACAUGGGACCUGCCCCUUGGCUGGGCCAACACUCCCCAGCCUCACCCAGGAGCCUUCAUGCCAUCUGCUAAGAUUGGACUGGUGCCCUGCUUCUCGAGGAAAACAGCCGCCACUCCUUGAUGACGGCAAUGCUGGAUCCAUCAGCCUCCUUCAGUGUAUAAAAGCCCAAGAGGG